AAUUUUCAUACUUUUUAGCUUGCCAUUCCAAUACAAGUUAUCAACAUUUGAAGACAAGCAAUACAGGAAAUAUAUAGAGUUACUCAUCACCAAAGCUUGAAACCAUAAGGUUCAUGUCCAAUUUGACUCUAUAAAAUCUCAAACUAUUCAAGGGGAAUGUUACAAACUGUAUCAUGGUGUAUAGAUGUGAGCAGUAACAAACAAUGAGUUCCCUCCUGAAUAGCAUGCCGAAUGUCAUAUACACAAAUAACGCUUGAAUUUUACUAUAUACAGAUUUACCUACAAAGCAGGAUGAUACUGGAGAGUCGCAUUUACUUCUACCCUUUGCAUGGCUCUCCUAAUACUCCACUCAUGGCAGAAUUCGAGGGCAAGUCGAAGGGCUGUUCCAAGUCCUAGGACAACAAUAACAC
rnacentral:lncRNA from 1 species